AGUGAACGCUGGCGGUAGGCCUAACACAUGCAAGUCGAACGGCAGCACAGUAAGAGCUUGCUCUUACGGGUGGCGAGUGGCGGACGGGUGAGGAAUACAUCGGAAUCUACUUUUUCGUGGGGGAUAACGUAGGGAAACUUACGCUAAUACCGCAUACGACCUACGGGUGAAAGCAGGGGAUCUUCGGACCUUGCGCGAUUGAAUGAGCCGAUGUCGGAUUAGCUAGUUGGCGGGGUAAAGGCCCACCAAGGCGACGAUCCGUAGCUGGUCUGAGAGGCUGAUCAGCCACACUGGAACUGAGACACGGUCCAGACUCCUACGGGAGGCAGCAGUGGGGAAUAUUGGACAAAGGGCGCAAGCCUGAUCCAGCCAUACCGCGUGGGUGAAGAAGGCCUUCGGGUUGUAAAGCCCUUUUGUUGGGAAAGAAAAGCAGCAGGUUAAUACCCCGCUGUUCUGACGGUACCCAAAGAAUAGGCACCGGCUAACUUCGUG
rnacentral:rRNA from 1 species